rnacentral:snRNA from 1 species
AAAAUUUUUCGAAAGAAAAAAAAAAAAUCUGUUCUUAUCAGUUUAAUAUCUGAUACGUCUCCUACCCGGGGACUACAUAUUAAAUUGAUUUUUGGAUCACGGAGCUGGAGCCGGGGCUUGCUCUGUCCACUCCACGCAUCGGCCUGGUAUUGCAGUGUCUCCAGGAACGGUGUGCUUCCC